ACAGGCAGGUGUGACGAGCGCGACAUGGGUCGUACACCUCUUUUUCGAUUCGAGUCAUGGUGGAGGCCUCAAGGCUGUCGUGCGCACGCGUCUCCUGAUAUUCAAGUCAAUGACAUUUUUUACGACUUCCGUCACGUCGUCCGGAUCGGAAGGUCGACUCUGCCGGAUCGAAUUCGACCGCAAUCAUUAGCGGAAGCGCUGUUAUCGCGAUUUUCGUCGACGCGACCGAUCGAUCUCGACUGUCUGAUGGCAUUAAUAAGAAGAGCCGAUGAGCCGAUUACACGUUGGAUUCAUCCGUAAAGUACACACGGGAGCGUUUGCUUCGCGAUAAUAACAACAACACACACACACACACACACACACACACGAUAACAUCGAAUUUUUGGAUUGAUUGAUAAGGAAGUGCCUCGUGCAUCGAAGGUUGCGAGGAGAAGCACAGAGACAAAGAGAGCUUGUAUGUCGUGAGAGAGAAAACGCGACGCAGAUACGUCCACUCGUUAGCAACAAUGGCAUCAUUAUCUAACACUUUCCCAAGAGUUUCUGCUUAAUUUUCUGCCAAAGGACUGGUGCACUAUAAUUAAUCGAAUGCGGUCAAUUUCGUGAAUUCCCGGUAUUCUCGUAAGUAGAUUCUUUCACUACUUCCUUACACAAACACACACACAUACACACACACACACACACACACACACACACACACACACACACACAUAGUUUGUCAUAUUUAUACAAUUUUCGAAUGAUGUGUGUGUGUGUGUGUUUAAAACACCCGACAAUACAGCAGGUUCGAUGAGAUUCUAGGAUCGAAAAUUUAAAGAGCUUCAUUCAUCAUGAGUUACGUAAUAAAAACUCGUAAGCUCAAUAAUACGGAUAACCUAGAAUCGGAUUAACGUAAUAAGCGUAAUAUAUCGAGUUUCUCUGCUUUAUCAUACAUGUAAGAUUUAUGAUCCGAGAAGUAGGAAAAUAGUUUUGACGUAUCGCAAAAGUAAUAAAAUUGUUAUCUAAUCACAAUUCAACUUUUCUGAUCGGUUUUUUAGACAGAAUUGUCACAGACUAGAAUUCUGUAUAAAUUCAUAUAUCGUAGUAUAGAUACUGCAAAUUCAUUAUAUCUACGGAAGAAACUAGAAUAAAAAAAAAGAGAACAAAUAAUUGCAUUUGUAAAGUGGAUAUAAAAAUAUAAAUUUAAGAAUACAGUUGUCGUCUUAGAUUUUGCUGUUGUAACAAAAUUCAGAGAAGAAAAAAGGAACCUGAUGUACCUUGGAUAAAGACUGUAGAACUAUUGCAGAUUGAUAUUUAAAUAAACAAAAAUAGCAUACACCGCAAUACUAUUCAAUCGUUUGAAUAUCCUAAGAAAAUAUACGUUGUAUCUUCGCAACAACUUCCGCAGACAAUUUGCUCGAAAGAUCAUUCCAAUCAUCCGGAAAAUCUCGCUGAGCAGACUUGGUAAAUUCGAUAAUGAGACUCGUCGCUUCUGCAAAGAGAUAACGUAUAUUCAUUAGUUGACAGGCAAUAUCGACACAGUGUUGACCGUGACAGUAUUGCAAACGGCAAAUAAAUUAAAGCGAUAGCGACAACCAUAUGAUAAUGAUGAGCCAGUUAUUGAAGCAUCCGCCGUUUGCUCACGAACUCACCUUUGCUUCCGGCUUUUUCUUCGUGUAAUACGCUAAUCGCAACAUUCAACAGCGUACGAAUAUGUGGCUGCAGGACAGGGUGUCCGGCUUGAUACAGCUUGAUAAUACUCCUAAACACAGCUUUGUUCUCCAGAAAAUCUUCCUUCAGUGGCAACUGUUCAACAAAAAUUGGGAAUACUUGUUCGAGCGGCAGAUUCGAGUAAUUCGCGAUAAUAAGUCGUGCAAUCGCUCCGACGACGUUAUCACGAGUACCCGCAUGCGACUCUUUCAUAAUGGCAGUCGACAGAGCUUGCAGUAUGGCGGGAUAAUACCUGCGUAACAGUCGUUAAGAAAUACCAAUGAAGAAUCCUAAUCAUACAAUACUACAAUUACAAUUACUGAUGUCAAAAUCUAUUGAGCAACAUAUACUCGUACAAUCAUCGAUCGUCAUUCAUCGUCCAUUUACGAUAAAACAUUGACUGAAAAGGAUACGAAUAAACGGCUUCUUUCCCGUUCAAAGCCAUCUCCCCGA